rnacentral:sRNA from 1 species
AUGCAGAGCAAACCUCUGUGAUUCCUGCCCAGCACCUGUGAGGCCUGACGUGGUGGAGUGCAGUGGCACCAUCAUGGUUCUGUGCAGCCUUGACUUCUUGGGCUCAAGAGAUCCUCCCGCCUCAGCCUCCUGAAUAGCUAGGACCACAGCCACGUGCCACCACACCCAGCUAAUUUUUUGAUUUUUUGUAGACACUGUCUCACUGUGUUGCUCAGGCUGCAAGCUGGUGUUUCAAACAGAUGAAGUUGGAAAGUUCUUCAGUUUCUCCAGAGUU